rnacentral:rRNA from 1 species
UGGGGAAUUUUGGACAAUGGGCGAAAGCCUGAUCCAGCAAUGCCGCGUGUGUGAAGAAGGCCUUCGGGUUGUAAAGCACUUUUGUCCGGAAAGAAAUCCUUGGCUCUAAUACAGUCGGGGGAUGACGGUACCGGAAGAAUAAGCACCGGCUAACUACGUGCCAGCAGCCGCGGUAAUACGUAGGGUGCAAGCGUUAAUCGGAAUUACUGGGCGUAAAGCGUGCGCAGGCGGUUUGCUAAGACCGAUGUGAAAUCCCCGGGCUCAACCUGGGAACUGCAUUGGUGACUGGCAGGCUAGAGUAUGGCAGAGGGGGGUAGAAUUCCACGUGUAGCAGUGAAAUGCGUAGAGAUGUGGAGGAAUACCGAUGGCGAAAGCAGCCCCCUGGGCCAAUACUGACGCUCAUGCACGAAAAGCGUGGGGGAGCAAACAGGAUUAGAUACCCUGGUAGUCCACGCCCUAAACGAUGUCAACUAGUUGUUGGGGAUUCAUUUCCUUAGUAACGUAGCUAACGCGUGAAGUUGACCGCCUGGGGAGUACGGUCGCAAGAUUAAAACUCAAAGGAAUUGACGGGGUCAUAGCUGUUUCCU